ACUGUGGUGGUACAACAAAGAAAUAUCUUGGGAAACUUCCCUUUUUUUUGGCGAUAACCUUGUGCUGGGGUUGUAAAAUGACUCCACCAAAAUUAAGUUUCGAGGAAGACACCAUAACCUGUGGGUAUAAAUCUCACAUUGUUCCAUCUAUUCUCAUCAAGAUUUUCAUCCAUGAAUACCUUAUUUGUUCAAGGAGAAUCUUCUACGAAAUGUUGCUGACGGGCAUGAAUCAAAAUUUAUUGGAAGUAUUAUAAAACAAGUCCAACAAGAGGUCAAGUACCGGACACCCCUAGAUGUUGCUUCGCAUCCAGUUGGAGUAUAUUUUUGUGUUGAAGAUAUAGAGUUGUUACUGCAAACUGGACGUGUAGAUGAAGUUCGCAUGAUUGGUAUAUAUGGGGUUGGUGGAAUUGGAAAAACAACUCUGGCAAAGGCUAUUUACAACCGAGUGUUUCGACACUUCGAUGGUAGUUGCUUCCUUUCAGAUGUUAGAUCAAAAGUUGAAGAAUUGGGUCUAGUCAAGCUACAAGAGAAGCUACUUCAUCAGAUCCUCAAAACAAAGGACUUAAAAGUUGAUAUUGUUGCUGAAGGUGUCAAUCUAAUCAAAGCAAGACUUGAGUCAAAAAAGGUUCUAAUUAUUCUUGAUGAUGUGGAUCAUAGAAGUCAAUUAGAAUCCUUAGCAAGAGAAAGAAGUUGGUUUGGUUCGGGUAGUUUAAUAAUUAUUACAACCCGAGAUAAGCAAUUGCUAUGUGGGCUUAGAGAAAAUGAGAGAUACAAGGCCAAACUAUUACAUCCAUAUGAGUCUCUGCAACUUUUUUCUUGUCAUGCUUAUAAAAGUCUUUCUCCACCACAAGAAUAUGAUGAGCUGGCACAAGACGUAAUCAAAUAUUCAGGUGGGCUACCAUUAGCUCUUGUGACAUUGGGGUCACAUUUGCAAGGGAGAUCCAUAGAAGAAUGGAGAUACGAGUUCAAAAAACUGAGAGCAAUUCCUCAUUGUGAUAUUCAAAAGAUUCUCAAGAUAAGCUUUGAUGGACUUGAUUGUGAUACUCAAGAUGUUUUCCUUGAUAUCGCGUGCGCCUUCCAUGGAUUUCCUAAGGAUGAAGUUACCAAAACAUUAAAUGCAUGUGGUUUUCAUACUGAAAGUGCAAUUUUAACAUUAGUCCAAAGACACUUGCUCGACAGGGCUGUGGUUAAUUUGACGAUGCAUGAUCUAGUACGGGAUAUGGGAAGAGAAAUCGUUCGCAUGGAAUCACCUCGAGAUCCUAGAAAACGGAGUAGAUUGUUCAACCCUCAAGAAAUCCGUGAUGUUCUACAAGGAAAUAAAGGUUCCGAAAAGGUCGAAGUACUGAUGAUAGAUUCAUGGGCAUUAAAGGGUGUCAACUUGAGCACCAAAGCAUUUAAGAACAUGAAAAAUCUUAGGGUGCUUAAAAUUGAUGCAUCACAUAUUAGUGGAGAUUUUGAGCUUUUGUCCAAGGAGCUCAGAUGGUUGUCUUGGCAAAAAUGUUCUUUAAAAUCUAUACCAUCAAAUUUUCCGGCUGAGAAACUUGUAGUUCUGGAUAUGCAAGGGAGUAAUAUCCAAGAAUUUGGUUUGAAUUUGCAGAAACUCAAAAGAACUCCGAACUUCAAUGGUUCACGCAGUCUCAAGACUUUGAGGUUUCGUGAUUGCUCAAAUCUGACGGAGAUCCAUCAAUCUAUAGGAAGUUUGAGUCGGCUAAUUUAUCUAGAUUUGGAUGGUUGCAAAAAGCUUACGGAUCUUCCGAGCAGCAUAUGCAAGCUAAAAUCCCUUGAAUCCUUGAACAUUUGUUGGUGCUUAUCUUUACAAACACUGCCAGUUGGCCUUCGAGAUAUGGGAGGUCUAAAUACUCUUAAUGCAGGUUAUGCGGGUAUAACUCAAUUGCCAGGAUCUGUUGAAAUGCCAAGAAAUCUUGUAGAGUUGGAAAUAAGAGGUCAACAUUUAGAGGCCAAAGCGGGUUUUUCUCGAAGAAGAGUCUAUCGUGUGCGUGUGCGUGUGCGUGUGCGAUCCUUGCCAACUUGUGUUUGUUGUAAAAGUUUGAAGGUGUUGGAUCUCUCUAAUUGCAAGCGCCUCAGAAAAACUCCGAACUUUAAUGGUUCACGAAGUCUCGAGACUCUGCGGUUUCAUGGUUGCUCAAGGCUGAUGGAGAUCCAUCCAUCAAUUGGAAAUUUGGACAGACUAACUGAACUGUACUUGUAUGGUUGCAAAAAGCUGAUGAAUCUUCCAAGCAGCAUAUGCCAGCUAAAGUCCCUUCGACUCUUGAAUAUUCACAGGUGCUCAUCUAUACAAACACUACCAGUUGACCUUGGAGAUAUCCGAGGUCUAAAAUAUCUUAAUGCAAGUUGUACUGGUAUAAAACAAUUACCUGGAUCUGUUAAAAUGCUAAGAGAUCUUGUAUAUUUAGAAGUGGGAGGUGAGGCCAAAAGGAGCUUUUCUCGAAAGAGAGUCCAUUGCAUACAGUCCUUGUCAACUUUUAUUUUGCGCUUAAGGCUUACAUACUAUACUUUAAAUUGUCUGAGGCUGAUAUUCCUAGGGAUAUUCGGAGUUUAUCCUCCUUGAGAUGUUUUGACUUGAGCGGCGACAGUUUUCUCUGUCUACCCUUUGGUUCUGUUGAGUUACGAUUCUUGGAGUACUUGUGUUUGAACUACUAUAAGAAUCUUCAGACAAUCCCACUAGUAUCAAAUUUAGAAAAUCCUGAGUUUUAUGAAAUUGGAAAUUGCAAGAAGUUGGUCGACAUUACAGAGUUGGAUAACCUCUCUUCUAUAGAGCAGCUCAACAUGCUUAAUUGUAAUGCUCUGCAGAAUCCGUUCAAUGAAGACUUCUCUAGUGCAUUCCAAUCUAGAAAAAUUGGAAUCUGGGGUUAGAUAUUUAUCUACAAAGCAAUGAGAUUCCAGAUUGGUGCAGCAACCAAGUUACAGCUCCAUCUAUCUGCUUCAUUAUGCCCAUGCAUAAUAAGGAGUAUCAGUUUUUAGGGAUGAUUGUCUGGUGUGUUCGCAAGUUUGUCAAUGUACCCUCUUCUGGUCCAUGGAAAGGCUUGGGGUUUAGUAUUGCAGGAAAAAUGUUUCCAGAUGUCUUCUCGCAUGAUGAUAAUGAAUUACCUGCUGGACACGUGGAACUAUCAUUUGUAUUUUACAGAUCUUACAUGCAAAGACCUUUUGAUGGCCAGAUGAAAUGCGGAGAAAAAAUGGAAGCCUUCGAGGUGGGCAUAGAAAAUACAGUAAAGAAGAUAGGGAUCCAUUUGUUAUAUUUAGACCAACAAGGUAAAGUUACAUCUUUACCAGCAAUAGUGGAUCAAUCUCAUUCUCAGAUGAAGAGAAGCCGGGAGAUAAGUGACAAGAGUCUCAGUGGAAAAGAACCCAAAAAGAGUUUCAACAGAGCAUAUCAACUCAACCCUUGAUGAAAAAGCCAAGUUUUGAAUGCUUGAGUCAAUGUAGUUUUCCAAAUUGAACUAAUCAUGGUGUCAAUAUUAGUCCUAUUUAGUGGGUCAAACAAUUUAUAAUUGACUACGAUAUUUUCAAAUAUUUCUUUUACAUUUUAGUUAUUAAAUAUUUUGCUAAAAGUGGGCAUCUGUAUCUCUAAAAUGAAUCAAAUAAACAAGGCUAAAUACAGGGAAAACCUCUUAAACUUAA